AACGAACGCUGGCGGCAUGCCUAACACAUGCAAGUCGAACGAGACCUUCGGGUCUAGUGGCGCACGGGUGCGUAACGCGUGGGAACCUGCCUUUAGGUUCGGAAUAACAGUGAGAAAUUACUGCUAAUACCGGAUGAUGUCUUCGGACCAAAGAUUUAUCGCCUUUAGAUGGGCCCGCGUUGGAUUAGCUAGUUGGUGGGUAAAGGCCUACCAAGGCGACGAUCCAUAGCUGGUCUGAGAGGAUGAUCAGCCACACUGGGACUGAGACACGGCCCAGACUCCUACGGGAGGCAGCAGUGGGGAAUAUUGGACAAUGGGCGAAAGCCUGAUCCAGCAAUGCCGCGUGAGUGAUGAAGGCCUUAGGGUUGUAAAGCUCUUUUACCCGAGAUGAUAAUGACAGUACCGGGAGAAUAAGCCCCGGCUAACUCCGUG
rnacentral:rRNA from 1 species